AGGAUGAACGCUGGCGGUGUGCUUAAUACAUGCAAGUCGAGCGGUAAGGCCUCUUCGGAGGUACACGAGCGGCGGACGGCUGAGUAACGCGUAGGAAUCUACCCCGAACUGAGGAAUAAGCACCAGAAAUGGUGUCUAAUGCCGCAUAUGCUCUUAGGAGUAAAGCUUCGGCGGUUUGGGAAGAGCCUGCGUCCGAUUAGCUUGUUGGUAAGGUAACGGCUUACCAAGGCGACGAUCGGUAGCUGGUCUGAGAGGAUGACCAGCCAGACUGGGACUGAGAACGGCCCAGACUCCUACGGGAGGCAGCAGUAGGGAAUUUUCCACAAUGGGCGAGA
rnacentral:rRNA from 1 species